rnacentral:rRNA from 1 species
CGACCGCUGGCGGCGUGCUUAACACAUGCAAGUCGAACGGAAAGGCCCUGCUUGCAGGGUCCUCGAGUGGCGAACGGGUGAGUAACACGUGGGUGAUCUGCCCUGCACUUCGGGAUAAGCCUGGGAAACUGGGUCUAAUACCGGAUAGGAGCCAUUUUUAGUGUGAUGGUUGGAAAGUUUUUUCGGUGUAGGAUGAGCUCGCGGCCUAUCAGCUUGUUGGUGGGGUAAUGGCCUACCAAGGCGGCGACGGGUAGCCGGCCUGAGAGGGUGGACGGCCACAUUGGGACUGAGAUACGGCCCAGACUCCUACGGGAGGCAGCAGUGGGGAAUAUUGCACAAUGGGCGCAAGCCUGAUGCAGCGACGCCGCGUGGGGGAUGACGGCCUUCGGGUUGUAAACUCCUUUCGCUAGGGACGAAGCUUUUUGUGACGGUACCUAGAUAAGAAGCACCGGCUAACUACGUG